CAGCACAACGCCUCCCGGGCAUCUCUGAUAAUUUUCAUGACGCGAAAGCCCCGAUGCACGUGCUUGAUCGCCGCCGUUCGUGUUGCUGUCUCCGUAGUUCUCACGGCCGACCUGUGUUAAAGUAAUGGCUUAAUAU